ACUGAGACACUGCCCAGACACCUACGGGUGGCUGCAGUCGAGAAUCUUCGGCAAUGGGCGAAAGCCUGACCGAGCGAUGCCACGUGCGGGAUGAAGGCCCUCGGGUUGUAAACCGCUGUCGUAGGGGAGGAAGGUUCCGUGAAGAGCGGAACUUGACCUAGCCUAGGAGGAAGUACGGGCUAAGUUCGUGCCAGCAGCCGCGGUAACACGAACCGUACGAACGUUAUUCGGAAUUACUGGGCUUAAAGGGUUUGUAGGCGGCCUUAUAAGUCAGGUGUGAAAGCCCUCGGCUCAACCGAGGAAUAGCGCUUGAUACUGUAAGGCUUGAGGGAGACAGGGGUAAGCGGAACUGAUGGUGGAGCGGUGAAAUGCGUUGAUAUCAUCAGGAACACCGGUGGCGAAAGCGGCUUACUGGGUCUCUUCUGACGCUGAGGAACGAAAGCUAGGGUAGCGAACGGGAUUAGAUACCCCGGUAGUCCUAGCUGUAAACGAUGAGCACUUAUCUGGGGAUCCUCCCAUAGGUUCCCGGAUGUAGCGAAAGUGUUAAGUGCUCCGCCUGGGGAGUAUGGUCGCAAGGCUGAAACUCAAAGAAAUUGACGGGGGCUCACACAAGCGGUGGAGGAUGUGGCUUAAUUCGAGGCUACGCGAAGAACCUUAUCCAGGCCUUGACAUGUACGGAUUAACCCGGUGAAAGCCGGGCCACGCCUUCGGGUGGAACGUGCACAGGUGCUGCAUGGCUGUCGUCAGCUCGUGUCGUGAGAUGUCGGGUUAAGUCCCUUAACGAGCGAAACCCUUGUCUCUAGUUGCCAGCGAGUAAUGUCGGGGACUCUAGAGAGACUGCCGGUGUUAAACCGGAGGAAGGCGGGGAUGACGUCAAGUCCUCAUGGCCUUUAUGGCCUGGGCUGCACACGUCCUACAAUGGUAUCUACAAAGGGAAGCAAGCUCGCGAGAGUAAGCAAAUCCCAUAAAGGAUGCCCCAGUUCGGAUUGCAGGCUGCAACUCGCCUGCAUGAAGCCGGAAUCGCUAGUAAUCGCGGGUCAGCAUACCGCGGUGAAUGUGUUCCUGAGCCUUGUACAUACCGCCCGUCAAGCCACGAAAGUGGGGGGGGCUUAAAGCCGCCGUGCCAACCCGCAAGGGAAGCAGGCGUCUAGAGUCAACUCCGUGAUUGGGACUAAGUCGUAACAAGGUAGCCGUAGGGGAACCUGCGGCUG
rnacentral:rRNA from 1 species